GACGAACGCUGGCGGCGUGCUUAACACAUGCAAGUCGAACGAAGUGGCGAACGGGUGAGUAACGCGUAAUCAACCUGCCCUUCAGAGGGGGACAACAGUUGGACACGACUGCUAAUACCGCAUACUGACGGGGGGGAUUGCGUCUGAUUGGCGAGUCGGAGGGGUAACGGCCCACCAAGGCGAUGAUACGUCGGCGGGCUUGGGGGUUGAUCGGCCACAUUGGGACUGGGGCACGGCCCAGACGCCCACGGGAGGCAGCAGUGGGGAAAUUUCCGCAAUGGACCAAAGUCUGACGGAGCAACGCCGGGGGAGUGAUGACGGCGUUCGGGUGGUAAAGCUCUGUUAAUCGGGACGCGGUACCGGAAUAGAAAGCCACGGCUAACUACGUGCCAGCAGCCGCGGUAAUUC
rnacentral:rRNA from 1 species